rnacentral:rRNA from 1 species
AGAGUUUGAUCCUGGCUCAGAACGAACGCUGGCGGCGUGCUUAACACAUGCAAGUCGAGUGCGCGCCUGUAGCAAUACAGGUGGCGCACGGCGCACGGGUGCGUAACACGUGGGUAAUCUGCCCUCUGAUGGGGAAUAACUCGCCGAAAGGCGAGCUAAUUCCGCAUAACAUUCCGGGAACCUUGGUUCUUGGACUCAAAGGCGUAAGUCGUCGGAGGAGGAGCCCGCGCACGAUUAGCUAGUUGGUGAGGUAAUGGCUCACCAAGGCUAUGAUCGUUAGCUGGUCUGAGAGGAUGGCCAGCCACACUGGAACUGAGACACGGUCCAGACUCCUACGGGAGGCAGCAGUGGGGAAUCUUGCACAAUGGGCGAAAGCCUGAUGCAGCGACGCCGCGUGGGGGAUGAAGCUUCUCGGAGUGUAAACCACUGUCGGGAGGGACGAAUACGCCGCAAGGCGGGUGACGGUACCUCCAAAGGAAGCACCGGCUAACUCCGUGCCAGCAGCCGCGGUAAUAC